rnacentral:rRNA from 1 species
AAACUUAAAGAAUUGACGGGGACCCGCACAAGCGGUGGAUGAUGUGGUUUAAUUCGAUGCAACGCGAAAAACCUUACCCACCUUUGACAUGUACGGAAUCCUUUAGAGAUAGAGGAGUGCUCGAAAGAGAGCCGUAACACAGGUGCUGCAUGGCUGUCGUCAGCUCGUGUCGUGAGAUGUUGGGUUAAGUCCCGCAACGAGCGCAACCCUUGUCAUUAGUUGCUACAUUCAGUUGGGCACUCUAAUGAGACUGCCGGUGACAAACCGGAGGAAGGUGGGGAUGACGUCAAGUCCUCAUGGCCCUUAUAGGUGGGGCUACACACGUCAUACAAUGGCUGGUACAGAGGGUUGCCAACCCGCGAGGGGAGCCAAUCCCAUAAAGCCAGUCGUAGUCCGGAUCGCAGUCUGCAACUCGACUGCGUGAAGUCGGAAUCGCUAGUAAUCGCGGAUCAGAAUGUCGCGGUGAAUACGUUCCCGGGUCUGUAC